rnacentral:rRNA from 1 species
GUGUCAGCAGCCGCGGUAAUACGUAGGAGGCAAGCGUUAUCCGGAUUUACUGGGCGUAAAGAGGACGUAGGCAGUUUUUUAAGUCGAUUGUGAAAUCUCCCGGCUCAACUGGGAGGGGCCAGUCGAUACUGUUAGACUAGAGGACAGCAGGAGGAGGUGGAAUUCCCGGUGUAGUGGUGAAAUGUGUAGAUAUCGGGAGGAACACCAGUGGCGAAAGCGGCCUCCUAGGCUGUUUCUGACGCUGAGGUCCGAAAGCGUGGGGAGCAAACAGGAUCAGAUACCCUGGUAGUCCACGCUGUAAACGAUGGACACUAGGUAUAGGGAGUAUCGACCCUCUCUGUGCCGAAGCUAACGCAUUAAGUGUCCCGCCUGGGGAGUACGGCCGCAAGGCUAAAACUCAAAUGAAUUGGCGGGG